GCUGGACAGGAGGUCCGCAGGGAGCAAAGGCCGGAUAAACUGACACCGGUCCGUGCACGAGCGCAGCUCUCGUCCGGAACCGCCAAUGAUCAGCCAGCAGCCGCUGCAACCCCAGGGAG
rnacentral:sRNA from 1 species